rnacentral:rRNA from 1 species
CCUACCCUAAAGACGAGGAUAACCAUUGGAAACAGUGGCUAAGACUGGAUAGGAAGAUAAAAGGCAUCUUUUAUCUUUUAAAAGACCUAGUAAUAGGUAUGCUUUAGGAGGGGCUUGCGCCAUAUUAGUUAGUUGGUAGGGUAAUGGCCUACCAAGACGAUGAUGUGUAGCUGGACUGAGAGGUUGAACAGCCACAUUGGGACUGAGACACGGCCCAAACUCCUACGGGAGGCAGCAGUAGGGAAUUUUCGGCAAUGGAGGAAACUCUGACCGAGCAACGCCGCGUGAAUGACGAAGUACUUCGGUAUGUAAAGUUCUUUUAUCAAGGAAGAAAAGCAAAUGGCGAACCAUUUGUUUGCCGGUACUUGAUGAAUAAGCCCCGGCUAAUUAUGUGCCAGCAGCCGCGGUAAGACAUAAGGGGCAAGUGUUAUCCGGAAUUAUUGGGCGUAAAGGGUGCGUAGGCGGUCUAGUAAGUCAGUGGUGUAAUGGCAACGCUUAACGUUGUCCGGCUAUUGAAACUGCUAAACUUGAGUUAGAUAGAGGCGAGUGGAAUUCCAUGUGUAGCGGUAAAAUGCGUAAAUAUAUGGAGGAACACCAGAGGCGUAGGCGGCUCGCUGGGUCUUAACUGACGCUGAGGCACGAAAGCGUGGGGAGCAAACAGGAUUAGAUACCCUGGUAGUCCACGCCGUAAACGAUGAGUACUAAGUGUCGGGUUAAACCGGUACUGAAGUUAACACAUUAAGUACUCCGCCUGAGUAGUACGUACGCAAGUAUGAAACUUAAAGGAAUUGACGGGACUCCGCACAAGCGGUGGAUCAUGUUGUUUAAUUCGAAGAUACCCGAAAAACCUUACCAGGUCUUGACAUGUUUUUGCAAAAUGAUAGUAAUAUCGUGGAGGUUACCAGAAACACAGGUGGUGCAUGGUUGUCGUCAGCUCGUGUCGUGAGAUGUUAGGUUAAGUCCUAAAACGAGCGAAACCCUUAUCGUUAGUUGCCAGCACGUUAUGGUGGGGACUUUAACGAGACUGCCAAUGAUAAAUUGGAGGAAGGUGAGGAUCACGUCAAAUCAGCAUGCCCCUUAUGACCUGGGCUACAAACGUGAUACAAUGGCUGUUACAAAGGGUAGCUGAAACGCAAGUUCUUGGCCAAUCCCCAAAAACAGUCCCAGUCCGGAUUGAAGUCUGCAACUCGACUUCAUGAAGUUGGAAUCGCUAGUAAUCGCGAAUCAGCAUGUCGCGGUGAAUACGUUCUCGGGGUUUGUACACACCGCCCGUCAAACCACGAAAGUUGGCAAUACCCCAAA